rfam:Stegodyphus mimosarum contig75401, whole genome shotgun sequence.
GCCUUCGUGGUAUAGUGGUCAGAACGUCGACGCGUAACCGAGAGGUCCGUGGUUCUAUUCCCGGUGAAGGCG